rnacentral:rRNA from 1 species
AAUGAACGCUGGCGGCAGGCCUAACACAUGCAAGUCGAACGAGUGGCGGACGGGUGAGUAAUGUCUGGGAAACUGCCCGAUGGCGGGGGAUAACUACUGGAAACGGUACCUAAUACCGCUUACCAUCAGAUGCGCCCAGAUGGGAUUCGCUAUUAGGUGGGGUAACGGCUCACCAGGGCCACGAUCCCUAGCUGGUAGGAGAGGUUGACCAGCCACACUGAAAAUGAGACACGGUCCAGACUCCUACGGGAGGCAGCAGUGGGGAAUAUUGCACAAUGGGCGCAAGCCUGAUGCAGCCAUGCCGCGUGUAUGAAGAAGGCCUUCGGGUUGUAAAGUACUUUCAGCGGGGAGGCGUUACCCGCAGAGGAAGCACCGGCUAAGUCCGUGCCAGCAGCCGCGGUAAUAC